rnacentral:rRNA from 1 species
UAAGGAAUAUUGGUCAAUGGACGCAAGUCUGAACCAGCCAUGCCGCGUGAAGGAUUAAGGUCCUCUGGAUUGUAAACUUCUUUUAUCUGGGACGAAAAAAGGCGAUUCUUCGUCACUUGACGGUACCAGAUGAAUAAGCACCGGCUAACUCCGUGCCAGCAGCCGCGGUAAUACGGAGGGUGCAAGCGUUAUCCGGAUUCACUGGGUUUAAAGGGUGCGUAGGCGGGCAGGUAAGUCAGUGGUGAAAUCCUAGAGCUUAACUCUAGAACUGCCAUCGAUACUAUCUGUCUUGAAUAUUGUGGAGGUAAGCGGAAUAUGUCAUGUAGCGGUGAAAUGCUUAGAUAUGACAUAGAACACCUAUUGCGAAGGCAGCUUACUACGCAUAUAUUGACGCUGAGGCACGAAAGCGUGGGGAUCAAACAGGAUUAGAUACCCUGGUAGUCCACGCCCUAAACGAUGAUUACUCGACAUUUGUGAUACACUAUAAGUGUCUGAGCGAAAGCAUUAAGUAAUCCACCUGGGAAGUACGACCGCAAGGUUGAAACUCAAAGG